rnacentral:snRNA from 1 species
AAAUCAUAAUUACCUUUUGGCUAAGAUCAAAUGUAGUAUUUGUUCUUAUCUCAUAUGUGCGUCAUUGGCUCAAACGUUAUUAAAUUAAUCUUGUCAAGGGGAGAAUCUACAACCGUAGCUUGCUAUUGGAAUCUCAGGUGUCGCUCAUGUCUUGUACUAUUACAUGAGCCUCGCACAAAAAAA